GGGGAGAGGACCUUCCACCCUACUACCUACCCAAAAAUACUUUCCAACCAAUUCAGGCAGAUUGACAGUAUGGGAAGUUCUUAAAUGGAUUAUUUUACUAUGUUUCCAAUACAACUUAUGAAUUUUAGUGUAUUUUAAUGGCUUUUGUCAAUGUAGAUAAUGAAAAAAUAUCGUCCUCUACUAUUAGUCACCAAAGAAGACAAAGGAAUGGCAGCUAUCCUUCCUUUCUCAAUCCCUUCCUUCAUUAUUUCUUUGUUUUCAAUUUCCUUCCCUCCAACCAAACAAAUUGCCAAGUGAUCCCCAACCUAACCAUCAUUUCAACUUCUCUAGGAUGGCAACCUCUUACAGAUUUUCCAAAUUAUUAAAACUAAUAAAACUCAACUCAACUCAACU
rnacentral:misc_RNA from 1 species